GACCACUCCAGUUGCCUAGUGGUAGAGCAUCCACUUCGGAUGCGGGAGGUCAUGGGUUUGAACCCCGACCGAGUCA